rnacentral:rRNA from 1 species
GAACCUUACCCGGGCUUAAAUUGCAUAUGAAUAAUCUGGAAACAGGUUAGCCGCAAGGCAACUGUGAAGGUGCUGCAUGGUUGUCGUCAGCUCGUGCCGUGAGGUGUCGGCUUAAGUGCCAUAACGAGCGCAACCCUUAUCUUUAGUUACUAACAGGUCAUGAUGAGGACUCUAGAGAGACUGCCGUCGUAAGAUGUGAGGAAGGUGGGGAUGACGUCAAAUCAGCACGGCCCUUACGUCCGGGGCUACACACGUGUUACAAUGGGGGGUACAGAAGGCAGCUACCUGGUGACAGGAUGCUAAUCCCAAAAACCUCUCUCAGUUCGGAUCGAAGUCUGCAACCCGACUUCGUGAAGCUGGAUUCGCUAGUAAUCGAGCAUCAGCCAUGGCGCGGUGAAUACGUUCCCGGGCCUCCUAAACGGGCUCCCGUCAAGCCAUGAGAGCCGGGGGUACCUG